ACGGGGGGGGCAAGCGUUGUUCGGAAUUACUGGGCGUAAAGGGCUCGUAGGCGGCCUUCUCAGUCAGACGUGAAAUCCCCAGGCUUAACUUGGGAACUGCGUCUGAUACUGGAAGGCUUGAGUGCGGGAGAGGGAUGUGGAAUUCCAGGUGUAGCGGUGAAAUGCGUAGAUAUCUGGAGGAACACCGGUGGCGAAGGCGGCAUCCUGGACCGACACUGACGCUGAGGCGCGAAAGCCAGGGGAGCAAACGGGA
rnacentral:rRNA from 1 species